CAGCAGCCACGGUAAUACGUAGGGUGCGAGCGUCAAUCGGAAUUACUGGGCGUAAAGCGUGCGCAGGCGGUUAUAUAAGACAGAUGUGAAAUCCCCGGGCUCAACCUGGGACCUGCACUUGUGACUGGCAAGCUAGAGUAUGGCAGAGGGGGGUGGAAUUCCGCGUGUAGCAGUGAAAUGCGUAGAUAUGCGGAGGAACACCGAUGGCGAAGGCAGCCCCCUGGGCCAAUACUGACGCUCAUGCACGAAGGCGUGGGGAGCAAACAGGAUUAGAUACCCGGGUAGUCCCUGUCUCUUAUAC
rnacentral:rRNA from 1 species